CUGGUUACCUGGGUGACUCAUCUGAACAUGGAAAUGUGGUCUGGAGCAGGAUGACUCUUUCCUGCCUUCCCUGGGGCCUCUCUUCUCAGAGCCACAGGAACUCAGCACGGUGGCACCCUGAGAUUUCCAUAUCUCUUUGGCCCCAUCUGCUCUCCUGCCUGCCAAAACUCUCCCCUGGAAACACAGACUCUGAGGGACAGCAUUCUUGACCCCUUGUCCUGGAGGAAGGCAGGCCAGGCCAGGUGAGAAUUGCUUCCAAACUUGGCAGGUGCCAACCUCAUUCUCACAAAGGACUGUGCAUUUAGCGGGUGCUGACUGAGAACCACAGGACCCACAGAGGAGUGCUCUCAACUUCAGAGUCCUGGAGUCCGUCUGGGGUUCGCUCACCACAAGAGCGUCCACAAGACCCCCAAAGCCAGUCGUCUGUACAGUUGUCCCUCAGUGCUGGUUCCAGAAGCUUCUUAGGCACCCAGAUCAAGGAUGUACAGUUUUCUUACAUGAAACCACACAGUAUUUGCCUACAACCCAGGCACAUCCUCCUCUACACUUUAAACCACCUCACACAAUUUGAAUAGUUAAACAGCUGCUGAAUCACCUAGAUGAUAAUUACAAGGAAAAGAUGCGUGUAUUCACUGUAGGUGCGUUCUCUGCACUUUCUUCCCCCUCCUCCUCCUCCUCUCCCUCCUCUUCCUCCUCAGUCUCUUUGUUUUCUGAAAAGACACAGGCUUGCCUGCCAUACUCAGAAAAACAACUGCCGUGCUUUAUGUUAUUUUAUUAAGCUUUAUUUUAGUUUUUAUUAUGUGUGCUUGUUGAGGUAAGGUGUGCAACCUGAGUGCAGGCGCUCACAGAGGCCAGAAGAUAGUGUUGAACUUCCUGAAGCUGGAGCUACAGGCGACUGUGAGUCUCUCAGUGUUGGGAACCGAACUCAAGUCCUCUGAAAAAACAGACCAGCAACUGCUUCACGUGACCAUGAAAGUGGAUGGUAAAUUGAGGAUGCGGGGCUGGAGGUAAAAGGCCCCUCCUCACCAGGAAGCAGGUGCCAGACCCCAGGAACCUCUGUGUUCACUGACCACAAGAGGACCAGGACAAGACAAGGUCAUCCCUGGGUAUCUCUGCAGUGAUGGCGGAGAUGCUGUGUGCUGCUCAGAGGGAAGGGACAGCUGCAUGCUGGGUGACACAGACUGUGGUCAGGCUUUCUGCCCCAGCAAGCGCUGCUGCUGCUGCUGUUGAAGAUGGAGGGUCAGGAGACAGGUGCUGCUGCCAGAGUCCACCCCCAAGCUACUGCAGGAGCUUUCUCCCUGGAGGAGGGAGACUCCUGAGACCAAGUUCUUGAUGUAAUCAGCACAAAACAGAAAAAGGUGAAGCCAUGAGCAGUUUGCAUGUUCUGAUCAGACUGAGGCCCAUGACAACCCAGCAUGCUGUUCAUUCUAGAAGAUGCCCUCCUUUGCUCUCGCCCUGUCCUGUGUUUGGCACCUGUGCCCUAGCGAGAUGUGUGUCUCCCAAGAAGACAUGUGUCCAGCCUAGUGCACCACAGAGAGUAAAUAUUUGCCAAAUCAGUGGUUCUUCGGGUCAGCUGUAGAAAUGCUCUGAUGACCACAUCCUGGAGGCGGGGCACCAGGAGUCCAAGACCAUCUUUGACUAUAGAGAGAGUGUGAAGCCAGCCUGGACUGCAUGAGACACCGCCUCAGACAAACAAACAAAGCCCUUGAUGUGUGCUGCUCUGACCAUCAAGAAACAGAAGCAGAACUCUCAUCCACUCUCCCUUCAAUCGGAGCUAGCCUUGCCUUGCUUGGAGCAACAGAAGGAGACAAAAGUGGCAUGUGAUUUCCAAGCUGAAAACCUUUCUGCUUUGGAAAUCCUGAGCCACAGGUGAAGUGAUGACAUAGGUUGAACCCUGUGGCCCCAACUCUCGGGACCAGGCUGCUCCCUGACCCAGGUUACUCCACACUGUGAAAACAAAGGUUUUUCAGGUUGUAUUUUGCCCAGGGAGACUUCAUUUGACAACACACAGAUAAACCCUACUAGAAUCUCUUUUUGUUAUGGACCCUGGUAGUGUUACUGGGAUUUUCCUCUGUAACCCCCUCAUUCCCCAGGCCUGUGAGCUCCACGGAAAGAAUUUGGAAGAGAAACAGAGUGUGAUGUAGAAGAUAGCCAGGGUUUACUGCAGAGGGUAGGUCAGCAUAUCCUCAAGGGGUCAGAGUGGACAGUGACCAAAAGGACCAUUGUGGAACAGAACACUUCCAUGUGUGUGAGUAGACAAUCACAUAUGGAUCGGCCCUUACAUAGGCUUGAUACUGCUAGUUUCUUGUUGUUUGUUUGUUUGUUUUUGUUUUUUGAGACAGGGUUUCUCUGUGUACCUCUGGCUGUCCUGAAACUCACUCUGCAGACCAGUCUGACCUUGAACUCAUAGAGAUCUGCCUGCUUCUGCCUCCAGAGUGCUAGGAUUAAAGGCAUGUGCCACCUCCACCCCCCCCCCCCCAGUGAUACAUUUCUUAAAGUAUCUAGAACAGACAUCCCCUGAGGGGCAUUAUCCUUUCUAGAAGAUUGACAGGCCCAUUUGGAUUAACUCAUGGUUAGGGAUAAUGGUAUAUCUUGCAGCUAUGCAGUAGUCUUAAAGCUUUCUGGACAAUUUCCAAUAUCACGCCUCCACCUAGGACCAGGGAUAAAACUCAGACACUCAUCAGAGUCCUACAGUUUCACUUCCUGGUUCCACAAUGGUUGACAUAAGUGAAGGGUCCAACCUCAAUGACCUUCAAGCCUGUUAAUAUCUCACUUGCUACCAAACAACCCCUGACCAAGAGUUGGGAUCCUAAUAUUAUUUAGGACAUAGACAAGUCACUCUAGCUACUUCCCACUGAAGCAGGGUCUCCACUGUUGCUAACUUUCAGGCCUUGGAAGAUGAUAAGAAAGGCCCAGAUAGAUAGAAUUAGAAAGCUACAGUACUAUCCAAGGGUAGAUUAAUGGUUAAGAAAAAGAGAUACAAUUAAAAAGCAGUUAAGCAUGCAAAGUUCCAAGACUGACAGGAUCGCCACUAAGUCCAGCCCAUUUCCACCACGAAAAUCCGAGGCCCAGUUCUAAAGCAACACAUCUGAGGGAAUGGCAGUUCCUGACACGGCUUGGAUCUGAUUUUGCAGAUCAUGGGAAGCAGAAGACAUCAGCAGAAUCAUCAGGAAUAUACACAGAGCGUCUGUUGUGGUUUGAAUGGAAAAUGGCCCCCAUAGACUCACGUGUUUGAAUCCUCGUGUUUUUCCUUUGGUGGUGCAGUUUGGGAAGGUUAUGAAAUCUUCAGGAGACAGAGCCUUGCUAGAGGAAACACAUCACUGGGGGCAGGAGGGUUUGUAGCCUCAGUCCACUUCCUGACAUUCCCCCUCCCCCACCCCACCCCACUUCCCGUAUGGAUAGGAUGUAAUGAAACAAUUCCUGAUUCUGCUACCAUGCCAUGCCUUCCUGGUCAAUAUGUUCUCUCCCUCUAGAGCCACAAGCCAAAAUAAACUUUCUGUUACUUUUAGUUGUGGUAUUUUAUCACAGCAAUAGAAAAGUAACGGAUACGGCAUUUAACCCUGAUCAAAUGACAUCUUCUAAUCCUACAGAUAUGAUAAAAAUGGAAGCUAGAUGACCGUGCCAACAGAGAAUACUUUGAGUUCACUAACAGAUUAGCAGCAUGACCUGGCAGUUUUAUCUUGGAUGUAUAAAAAGGCAGAAACAGAAGCCUGGCUGGAAACCCAUACAAACGGCCAAGGGUGGCUUUGAAAUAAGACAGAAGGCAACCAGCGUUUUUAUUUUUCCUCUCAUCUGAAUAGCUUUGUGAGAAGGCACUGUCUAUCACAAUAGUUCCAUGGAGGACCCAGAAAUAAAUGACCCCCCGGGAAGACUCAAAGAUGUACAGGUGGGAAACGUUCAAAGAAACAAAGAGCAUCGUCCAGUCAUCCCUUCACUUACUUACUUAGUAAACAUUUUAUCAAAGGGCUGGAGAGAUGGCUCAGCUGUAUAAGGCUAGACUCACAACCAAAAAUGAUCAAGUAUCAAACUUCACAGACUACAUUAGACUCUGGAGUAGACAGGGACCAAGGAUGAAUUUCCCUGCCCGCCUCCGAGGUCAGAGUCUGGCGGAAGUCUUGGGAUCCAUCUGACUUUUUCAAAAGUAUUGAACCACACGUCAUGACACAGAGACACCCUGAGAAAAUGAAGAGAAAUGAGGUUGGUAUUGUAAACAAGCUCACGCUGUAGGAAGAAGCCAUACACAGCCGGGGCGUGGGAGGGGAGACAGUGUUAUAGAGAACGCAGAGACGUGAACACAGUGGGUAAGUGCUGGAGAGGUGAAUGAUGAGAGGGUGGAGUUAGAGGAGAGGGCGGAGUUAGAGGAGGGGUGGAGUUAGAGGAGGGGCGGAGUUAGAGGAGAGGGCGGAGUUAGAGGAGGGGUGGAGUUAGAGGAGGGGCGGAGUUAGAGGAGAGAGUGGAGUUAGAGGAGAGGGUAGAGUUAGAGGAGGGGCGGAGUUAGAGGAGAGGGCGGAGUUAGAGGAGGGGUGGAGUUAGAGGAGAGGGCAGAGUUAGAAGAGGGGUGGAGUUAGAGGAGAGGGCGGAGUUAGAGGAGAGGGUGGAGUUAGAGGAGAGGGUGGAGUUAGAGGAGAGGGCGGAGUUAGAGGAGAGGGUGGAGUUAGAGGAGAGGGCGGAGUUAGAGGAGGGGUGGAGUUAGAGGAGGGGCGGAGUUAGAGGAGAGGGUGGAGUUAGAGGAGGGGCGGAGUUAGAGGAGAGGGUGGAGUUAGAGGAGGGGCGGAGUUAGAGGAGAGGGCAGAGUUAGAGGAGAGGGCGGAGUUAGAGGAGGGGUGGAGUUAGAGGAGAGGGCGGAGUUAGAGGAGAGGGUGGAGUUAGAGGAGGGGCGGAGUUAGAGGAGAGGGUGGAGUUAGAGGAGGGGCGGAGUUAGAGGAGAGGGUGGAGUUAGAGGAGGGGCGGAGUUAGAGGAGAGGGCAGAGUUAGAGGAGAGGGUGGAGUUAGAGGAGGGGUGGAGUUAGAGGAGAGGGUAGAGUUAGAGGAGAGGGCGGAGUUAGAGGAGGGGUGGAGUUAGAGGAGAGGGCGGAGUUAGAGGAGAGGGCGGAGUUAGAGGAGAGGGUGGAGUUAGAGGAGAGUGAGAUCUCACUCCCAGGGAUGCUGAGGAUGGCUGGAUGAACCCGAAUCUACAUGUUUCAGUGGAGUAGUCUGGAGACAGCAGAGAUGAGGCACCCCAGCUGCUACUUCUUGUCCUGAAUGGCAGAUACCAUUAAUCAACCACCUCUUGCUGAAGCUGGUUCUUCUUCAACCCCUUGCUCCAGGCAGCCAUGGCAAUGCGAUCAGAGUUUGCACACACGACGAAGCCAAUCUGCCAUUUCUGGAAUAGUCGCUGUCUCUCCUGAGGACAACAGACAAAAAUAUUCAGCUGGCACCAGUCAACCAACUUCCAAGUGGAUCAAGAUGAGAAAACAGGUCCAACGGAGCUUGGCCAAGUGUAGGAAUGUCACAGCUUUUCUAUGCAGAUAGGGACAGAGCCUGU